CGUUCAUCCCUCCAACUCAGUGUAAAAAGUGGGCGGAGCUUAUUCGGAUUUUCGCGCCUAGCAACCUUGUUGACAACGACGAGCCGGAUCGUAUCAUUUUAUUCCGUUCCAAAAUGUCUGCGAUAUCAAAAUAAUUCACUCCAAGAAAUCGUUGAAUGUUAGCAAGUCAAUGAAUGCUCAUUAUUUUCGUUGACAAUCCGGGUAUCGUAAUAAACUGACUUUGGCAAGCAAAUGUUGAGCAGAGGAACCAUGCAACAUGUUCUAUCCAGUGGCCAAAUGCAAAAAGAAAGCUUUGCCAUCAGGCUAUUUAUGAGGCAAACUACAACCACAUAGCAUUGAUACCAAUUUUGGGAAAACAAAGGAGAUUGGACAGCUCUCAAUCCACUGAUUCUUGACUGCGUUCAUCAAGAUUACAAGAUCAUCACUAAAUCCUCGAAGAUUCCUGCUGAUGUUAUUCAUUUGAACAUGAAGGGACUCCCCACCCUGUUCGCCCAUCACGCCAAGUCCAGCAUGCCACAUUCUAAGCCAGGGAAUAAUGUGGCAUUCCAAUAUAUGCAUCUUGGGGGUGACAGUUGCCUUCGGGAACUCCUGGCGGAAGAACUGCAGGU